rnacentral:lncRNA from 1 species
AUGUGUGCACAUGCGUGUGCACCUGUACGUGUGUGCACAUGCAUCUGUGCAUGCGCAGGCAUGUGCAUGUGCGCAUUUAUGUGCAUACACCUGUGUGUGGAUGCAUGUGUCUGCACACCUGUGUGUGCAUGCGCACAUGUGUGCACACACGUGCAUGCGCCUGCAUGCGCAUGUGCCCGCGUGCUGCGCUCCCACGCCCUGCGCCAGCCGCAGCCGCUGGCGGGACCUGUACGACGGGUCCGCGGGCUCCACCCUGCUCGCGGGCUCCCUCUGCAUCCCUGGCGCCAGUGGCAAAGCUGCUGCCGCCAGCGGCUCCCACCGCAGCCCCAGCGGCGGCCGGGCCGGGAGAGCCGGGCUGGGGGGGCGGCAGUGGCUGGGACUCCCGGGGCCCCGCGUGCUGGCGCGCGGAGGGACGGAAUGGGACGGGGAUGGGACGGGGACGGCCGCGGCUGGCUCCGCGAGCGCCCUGGCCCCGCAGGGGUGGCACAGGACCCCUGCCCCGGCGAGCCCCCUCCGCGGGCCACGGGCACAUUAAAAUGUUGCUUCUCCACCUGCCUCUGUGUCCUUCGUGGCACUGGACCCCCUGGCUGCUCCCCCGGCGCGCGGGCAUGUGGGCGGCACCGGCCCCGCUCCGGGGACGCGGACAGGCUCGGAGGGACCCUGGCAUCCAGGGGGUUCCGCGCCCCAUCCUGGCGGGUUCCCCCCCCCGCAUGUCCCCCCGGGCGCGGAGCUGGCAGGACAGGGACGCCAGGGUCCCGGGAAAGUUUUGCUUUGGGGCUUGGGUUUCUCUGGCUCUCGAGGAGGGAUGGAUGGGAGCUGGCGCUGCCCACGGACCUGGGGACAUGUGUCACGUGUUGCAUGCCACAUGCCAUGUGCUGCAUGGUGCAGUGCACGCCACACAGUGCAUGCCACGCUGCAUACUGCGUGUUGCAUGCUGCGUGCUGUGCCAUGCGCUGCGUGGUGCAUGCCACGUGCCAUGCGUUGCAUGCCGCAUGCUGCAUCCUUGCGGAGCCAGUGCAGUCCCUGCCCGUGCACGCGGCAUGGACUCGGCACGGCUCUGCCCCCCGGUGCCCCAGCUCCCAACCCAGCCACGGGGGCUCGGCGCAGCGAUUCGGCCCCGUUUUCCCCUGUUGCAGCCCCAGCAGGCGCCGGUUCGUGCUGCCGCGUGCCCCAUCCCGCCCUGCCGGGUGCCGGAGCCGUCAGAGCCGCACGGCUCCGUGCUGCUUCCGUGGUGCCGGUGCCCCCGCGCCGGGGUGGGCGGCGGGGGAAACUCCAGCUUCCCUCCUCUGCUUCCUGCUCGCCGGCGUGCUGCCGUCAUGCCACCGUGGCCCGCUGAGUCACGGGGGUGGGCAGGCGCGGGGCUUUCCCGCGGGGCUCCCCGCAGCCUCGCUGCCCGCCGGCCGGGCCGGAGCUGCCCGCUGCUCUCCGCUCCUCCGGCCCCGCGCGGCUGCUCUGGGGCUCGGUCCUUGGGGCUGCCCAGCGGGAGCCGCUCCGGCCCGGGGCCACUGUGUGGGGGCUUGGGGCGGCCGAGGGAGCUGGUGCGGGGCUCAGCGUCACCUGGAGCAUCCGGCUCGGGGCACGGCCUGCAGCCGGGCAGGGUGCAUGUGUGCAUGCAUAUGUGUGGGUGUGUGGGGGUGUGGGUGGGUGUGUGGGUGUGGGUGGGUGGGUGUGCAUGCACAUUUGUGUGUGCAGUGUGCAUGCAUGUGUGCGUGUGCAUGCAGGUGUGCUCCUGCCCACGUGCAGGUUUGUGUGUGCCCACGUGUGUGCGUGUGUCGCGUGAAAGGGAGGGAGGGGAAGGCCCUUCCUUAUCUUUGUAAUUUACGUUUGCCUGCCAGAGCCCCCCCCCCGUUUGAGGACUUUCCCUGAGUCAGUUUCGCAAAGUAAAAAAGAGCAAGAUUUUAUUAAAGCAACAGAUACAACAGGUUCGGAAUUGCCGUUGAUAAAUGCACUUGCUGCUACRAAUUUUCUUUCUAUGAGCUCAAAGUAACAAUUAAGCGCUUUCAGUAAUAACGUAUUUUCCCGGGUAACGUCCGACGUUGUCGGAGGCGCAAGUCCCUGUUUGGGGGAGGGGAGGAGGAGGCUCCCUCGUCAGCAGUCUCCGGUGAACACGUCAGGGGUUCAGUUUUCUUCCCUUCCAGAAACUUUAGUGAGCUCUUCUCUGUUUUAUAGUUGAAGGGAGGAUGUGGAAGCGCAGCAGACAUACAAACUUCAUUGGCCAGAUUGCCAUUUGCGCGGUUGUUGGGGGUAUGCCCCCCUUAUUUACAUAUUGUUAUGCAGCAAAGGGCGCUUUUUUAAUAUGGUAAUCAGGGAUAACGAGGCUAGGGGUACUACAGGUCAACGGUCCGUGAGCAGCAAUUAUUUUUCGGGAUGCGACCCUUUGUGGUCGGGGCGGGCCGCGACACCUCCGCCGCGCAGCUGGAACAAACUGUCUGGCCUUCACCAGCCAGUUCGUUACUCAUGUUGCAAAAGGGUGGUGUGUUUUGGCUGCCACGUCCUGUUUUUCCCUUUGUGCCCCCUUAUCUUUCUCCCCGAAAUCUCUCUUGAUCCCACGGUGUGCAUGCACAUCGGUGUGCAUGCAGGUGUGCUUCUGCCCACGUGCGUGUGUGCGUGUGCCCGCGUGUGCGCGUGUGCAUGCACACCCGUGCGCGUGCGUGCUCGUGCCUGUGGGCAUGCUCGUGUGCGUGCCGCCGGGCCCCUCGGCACGCGGCGCAGGGGCCGGCCCUCGUGGGCCCGGGGCCACCGUGACCUCGGCUCCCAGACGGCCCCUGGGGGGGCUCCGGCGCCCCCCGGCCGGGCCCCACCCUGGGGGGCUGCUGUAGAGCAGCCCUGGGGCUGCACUGGGCCUGGCCCACCCCCGCGAGGAUGC